rnacentral:tRNA from 1 species
AUUUAAAUAGCUCAAAAAGAGCAUCAUAUUGAAGAUAUGGGGAUGACUCUUGUCUUUAGAUA